GGAGAGAUGGCCGAGCUGGACGAAGGCGCUCGACUCGAAAUCGAGUAGGCAGUUAGAAGCUGUCUCCAGGGUUCGAAUCCCUGUCUCUCCG
rnacentral:tRNA from 1 species